GAUGAACGCUAGCUACAGGCUUAACACAUGCAAGUCGAGGGGCAGCAUGGUCUUAGCUUGCUAAGGCCGAUGGCGACCGGCGCACGGGUGAGUAACACGUAUCCAACCUGCCGUCUACUCUUGGACAGCCUUCUGAAAGGAAGAUUAAUACAAGAUGGCAUCAUGAGUCCGCAUGUUCACAUGAUUAAAGGUAUUCCGGUAGACGAUGGGGAUGCGUUCCAUUAGAUAGUAGGCGGGGUAACGGCCCACCUAGUCUUCGAUGGAUAGGGGUUCUGAGAGGAAGGUCCCCCACAUUGGAACUGAGACACGGUCCAAACUCCUACGGGAGGCAGCAGUGAGGAAUAUUGGUCAAUGGGCGCAGGCCUGAACCAGCCAAGUAGCGUGAAGGAUGACGGCCCUAUGGGUUGUAAACUUCUUUUAUAAAGGAAUAAAGUCGGGUAUGUAUACCCGUUUGCAUGUACUUUAUGAAUAAGGAUCGGCGAACUCCGU
rnacentral:rRNA from 1 species